GUGUAUAUAUUUGUUUUUGGGGUUGUUGUUUGUUAAUAAGCAAUUCUUAGCGUGAGGGUUUAGUUUUGGCCUAUUUUAGACGUUAUGUUUUUAUGUUAUUGUUGCUGAUAUGAGGCAUUUGAUGGCGGAUCUAGUGAUUAUUGAGUGAUUUUUGUUGGAUCUGCCUAUUAUUGUGAUUGCAUGCAGGUGAGUUGCCAUAGUUGUGAUCUUUAAUUGAGCCUUUUGCUCAAUAAAGAACUCUAUUUUAGCCACACCAAUGUGAGGAUUUUGUGGGAUUGGUGGCAGCUCGUAGAAUAGCCUAUGGUUUCCUUCCCAAAAGGCAUGAGUGAGAUGCCAAAAACGCCAGUUCCUGCUCAACUCAUGGGUUGCUAAGGCCUUUGUUAUUUGGUGUUUCGCCGAAUGCGGCCUAGGCUUUACGUCAAAUUGUUUAAAUCUCCCAUCGACGAAAGUUGAAAGUUGUGGUGUUCCUUUGUUUCUCGUCUGAUGCAGUGCUGUGGUUUAAAUGAUGCCUAUUUUUGGGUUUUGGGCGGGUUACUUGCCCCAGUAAAGUCUUUUGCAAGUGGGCCUGGGCCUUAUUGAGUGUGCUGAGAUUCUGAUUAGCUAGGCUUAUUUUUUAGAAUUGGGGGCCUUUUAUGUAAUGGUUUCAUUGGGUUUGGCUUUU
rnacentral:misc_RNA from 1 species